rnacentral:rRNA from 4 species
AUGCAUGUCUAAGUACAAACUUUUACACAGUGAAACCGCGAAUGGCUCAUUAAAUCAGUUAUGGUUCCUUAGAUCGUACAAUCCUACUUGGAUAACUGUGGUAAUUCUAGAGCUAAUACAUGCAACCAAGCUCCGACCUCCGGGGAAGAGCGCUUUUAUUAGAUCAAAACCAAUCGGGUCGCAAGGCCCGUCCCAUUGGUGACUCUGGAUAACCUUGGGCUGAUCGCAUGGCCUCGAGCCGGCGACGUAUCUUUCAAAUGUCUGCCCUAUCAACUUUCGAUGGUACGUGAUAUGCCUACCAUUGUGAUAACGGGUAACGGGGAAUCAGGGUUCGAUUCCGGAGAGGGAGCAUGAGAAACGGCUACCACA